rnacentral:rRNA from 1 species
CCCUUAAGUGCUCUGGGCUGCGCGCGCUACGCUGAAGCGCUCAACGGAUGUUCACCUUGCCCGGGAGGGUUGGGUAAUCUUUUGGCAACGCUUCGGAAUGAGGAUGGGAUAUUGCAAAUAUCAAUCCUCGACCAGGAAUCCCUAGUACACGCGGGUCAUCAACUUGUGCUGAUUACGUCCCUGCCUUUUGUACACGCCGCCGGUCGCUCCUACCGAUUGAGUGAUCCGGUGGAUAAUUCGGACUGCAGCGCUGCUUGGUCUCCCAGCUUUGCUGCGGAGAACUCAGUGAACCUUAUCACUUAGAGGAAAGACAAGUCGUAACA